rnacentral:lncRNA from 1 species
GACUGUAAAGGUAUAUUGCUGGUCCUACCAACUGAAAGAAAACUGCUUCUGAUGGUCUUCACCAUGGAGAAGAAAAAAAUUGACAGAUCAAUAGCUGCAUACUGGAGGAUGUGUUAAUUUGCUUCAGUAAAGAAACAAUAGCUGAAAUAGCAGCUGGAUUUGGAGUCACUAUGUGAUUAAGUUUAUGAAAAUCCACUAUAAUUUUCCAAGAUACAUCUGUCUUCUGUAGAGGCCAAAUAGGCACAGGCAGACCAAUGUGGGAGACAGAUAAGGACGCGUUGCAGAGUGGUGUGAGAACUGCCAUAAGGAAGCGCCCAAGGCUGUGUGAUGUGGGCACAGAGAUGACGUCAGCUGAGGCAGCUUGACUGUGGCGGGUGGAUCCACUUCCAAGAUGGUUCAUUCCAUGGCUAACAAGCUGCUGCUGCUGACUGUUGGCUGGUAGCUCAGCUGGGAAACAAAGCUGGGGGCCUUGUUUUCUUUCCACUUUGGCCUCUCCCUUGGGAUGCUUAGGUUUUCUCAAAACAUGGUAUCUGGGUUCCAAGCUAGUGUUCC